UACGAAGGGGGCUAGCGUUGUUCGGAAUUACUGGGCGUAAAGCGCGCGCAGGCGGUCUUCCAAGUCAGUGGUGAAAGCCCGGAGCUCAACUCCGGAACUGCCAUUGAAACUGUGAGACUGGAGUACGAGAGAGGUGAGUGGAAUUUCCAGUGGAGCGGUGAAAUGUGUAGAUAUUGGAAAGACCACCAAUGGCGAAGGCACUCUACUGGGCCAUUACUGACACUGAGAGACGAAAGCUAGGGGAGCAAAUGGG
rnacentral:rRNA from 1 species